rnacentral:tRNA from 1 species
GCCCGGUUAGCUCAAUCGGUAGAGCGUGAGACUCUUACACAAGAAUUCACAAUCUCAAGGUUGCGGGUUCGACCCCCGCAUCGGGCU